rnacentral:rRNA from 1 species
AACGCUAGCGGCAGGCUUAACACAUGCAAGUCGAGGGGCAGCGUGGAGCAGCAAUGCUCUGACGGCGACCGGCGGAAGGGUGCGUAACACGUGAGCGACUUGCCCGUCACAGGGGGAUAACCGGCGGAAACGGCGACUAAUACCCCAUAUGAUGCGAUGCUGCAUGGCAUUGCAUUGAAAGAUUCAUCGGUGGCGGAUAGGCUCGCGGGACAUUAGCUAGACGGCGGGGCAACGGCCCACCGUGGCGACGAUGUCUAGGGGUUCUGAGAGGAAGGCCCCCCACACUGGGACUGAGACACGGCCCAGACUCCUACGGGAGGCAGCAGUGAGGAAUAUUGGUCAAUGGGCGGAAGCCUGAACCAGCCAUGCCGCGUGAAGGACUAAGGCCCUACGGGUCGUAAACUUCUUUAGACGCAGAGCAAUAAGGUCCACGCGUGGACCGAUGAGAGUAUGCGUAGAAUAAGCAUCGGCUAACUCCGUG